rnacentral:rRNA from 1 species
AGAGUUUGAUCCUGGCUCAGAACGAACGCCGGCGGCGUGGCUAAGACAUGCAAGUCGAACGCGAACGUCCCCGCAAGGGGGCUAGUAGAGUGGCGAAAGGGCGAGGAAUAUAUGGGUUACGUAUCCUGAGCACAGGGAUAGCUCACCGAAAGGUGAGGUAAUACCUGAUAUGACCACGGUGGAUCAUGAUGCUGUGGUAAAUGGGCGGGGAUCCUUCGGGACCUGUCGGCUCUUGAGCGGCCCAUAUCCUAUCAGCUAGUUGGUGAGGUAACGGCUCACCAAGGCAACGACGGGUACCGGGACUGAGAGGUUGACCCGGCGCAUCGGGACUGAGACACUGCCCGGACUCCUACGGGAGGCUGCAGUAACGAAUCUUCCGCAAUGGGCGCAAGCCUGACGGGGCGACGCCGCGUGUGGGAUGAAGCCCUUCGGGGUGUAAACCACUGUCAGGGACUACCAAGCGACUCGGUCUAAUAGAUCGAGAAGUUGAGGCGUCCCAGAGGAAGCCACGGCUAACUCUGUGCCAGCAGCCGCGGUAAGACAGAGGUGGCAAGCGUUGUUCGGAAUCACUGGGCUUAAAGGGCGCGUAGGCGGGCUGCCAAGCGUGUUGUGAAAUCCCUCGGCUUAACCGAGGAAUUGCUUCGCGAACUGGCGGCCUUGAGGCAGGUAUGGGUGAGUGGAACUCUUGGUGGAGCGGUGGAAUGCGUAGAUAUCAAGAGGAACGCCGGUGCUGAAGAGGACUCACUGGGCCUGUCCUGACGCUGAGGCGCGAAAGCCAGGGGAGCAAACGGGAUUAGAUACCCCGGUAGUCCUGGCCCUAAACGAUGUCCACUAGGUCGGAGUACUUCUGACAGUUUUCUGGCCGAAAUGAAAACGAUAAGUGGACCGCCUGGGGAGUACGGUCGCAAGGCUAAAACUCAAAGGAAUUGACGGGGGCUCACACAAGCGGUGGAACAUGUUGCUCAAUUCGAUUCAACGCGCAGAACCUUAUCCUGGGCUUGACAUGUACGAGCUCCUACCUGGAAACAGAAUAGGAUGUGGCUUCGGGCCAGUAAGCGUACACAGGUGCUGCAUGGCUGUCGUCAGCUCGUGUCGUGAGAUGUCGGGUUAAGUCCCAUAACGAGCGAAACCCUUGCCGUUAGUUGCCAGCGGGUAAUGCCGGGAACUCUAGCGGGACUGCCGGUGUUAAACCGGAGGAAGGUGGGGAUGACGUCAAGUCCUCAUGGCCUUUAUGCCCAGGGCUGCAAACGUGUUACAAUGGCCGUUACAAAGCGACGCAAAACCGCGAGGUCCAGCAAAUCGCAAAAAGACGGCCCCAGUUCGC